AGCUGGUGUCUACAGGUGCUGAACUGAAAGGAAAGCAGAUAGUAGUAGAACGUCUUAACUAUGUUGUUUCUGGUCUUUAUAUUAGGUUUCCUCCAUCUGCCGGGGAAUAAGGGUGCCUCUAACACCAACAGUGUCUUCCAAACGCCUCCUUUCAUCAUUAAGAGAAGUGGUGAAUCGGUUGCCAGUGAGAUCAACUGUUCACACAGCGUAACAAAUUAUAAUCAAAUUCUCUGGUACAAACAGGACGAACGGAAAGCUCUGAAGUUCCUGGGAUAUCUGAAUCUGGACAGCCAAUACCCCGAGGACGACGUGAAAGGAAAAAUCAGCUUUGACGGAGAUGGCCGUAAACAUUCCCGCCUCAGCGUUUCUGAUUUGUCAUUAAAUGACAACGGUGUGUAUUUCUGCGCUGCCAGUCAGCACAGUGCUGCAGAUUCCCCUCAAGUCAAUACAAAAACUCUCCUUAGUCUGCAGACAGAUAACAUGUUGAGUCUCUUGAACACCUGCAGCCAGGCUCCAUCUAAACAGAGCCUUUGA